UCCUCGCCCUGGGCAGAGUAUAAUACCGAGUGACCGUGUGUUUACCACUUGUGCCUGUACCCAUCACGUUUGACGAGGCCCAAAAUCUGCAGUUCAGCGCGCACCUUUCGAUAUUUGGGAGCCGAUUUGUAGCGAGCGACGGACAGAAGAUCAUUGCAUGAGGAGAGGCCAGCAAAGGCUGCCGACAGAACCGACCAGAAGGAGCUCGAGAUUACAUGCCCCCGAGGAGCGCGGCACCGCUGGAGCCGCAACAGCAGCAUAAUGAAGCUAACAGCUUCGCCAAGACCAUCGUCGUUGGCCCCUUCAUUGCGAGCUCUCUGGAUCGCUGGCUUUUUACUCGCUUCUCUGCGAACAUGCGACGCACUCUCCGAGAGCAUCAAAGGUAGCCGAGAAACUUGCGAAGUCGAGGGUGAAGACUUCACCGUCGACAAAAUACCAAAUACCAAGUGCUUCAAUUGUAUAUGCAAGAACGGCUUCGUCGAGUGCCUGAAGCACCAGUGUCCGAGCAUCGAGGGCUGUUACAUGCUGCUGGAGCGAAGGAAGGACGACUGCUGCAAGAAGUGCAAAGGAUGCGUGAAGAACAACGUGCACCGAGCCUCGGGCACCGAGUGGACGGAGCCGAGCGACCCGUGCAAGAUAUUCACCUGCAACGCCGGUGUCAUCACGGAAUCGAGCCUCCAGUGCUACGCGCCCUGCGCCAAUCCCAUACCUCCGGCUCCCGGCCAGUGCUGUCCCACUUGUGCAGGCUGCUUUGUAAACGGGCAAAAGGUGACGGAGGAGCGGUCGGUCAUGACUGCCGAGGAUCCCUGCGUGACGUGCAAGUGCAACAACGGCCGGCUGACCUGCAUGAAAAAAGCCUGCCCGGUCUUCCACUGCCCCCUGUCCAAGAUCGUCCACCAGCCGGGUGAAUGUUGUCCCAGGUGUCUCGGGGACGGUAACUACAUGUCACCGCCACGGGGUGCCUGCAUGCUCGGGGCCCGGCUUCACAACUCGGGCUCGCAGUUCCAGCUGGACAAGUGCACCCACUGCUCGUGCAACGCCGGCUACGUAAGCUGCGCCAAGGAAACCUGUCCCGUUCUCGAGUGCAACAGCGAGUACCAGAUCAAGCCCAAGGACCGCUGCUGUCCCAUGUGCCCCCUCGUCGAGGAGUCCAGGGCAUCCUGCACUUACGCCGGCAAAACUUACGGGGAUGGCGAAACUUGGAAGCUAGAUCCCUGCAAGUCGUGCGCAUGCAAGCAGGGCAAGGUGCGCUGUGCCAUGUCCAUGUGUCCGCCCUUAAACACCCCCUGUCCGCCGAACUCGCGAUUGGAACUGCCCGAGGGCCAAUGCUGUCCACGAUGCGUUGAAAGCGACGGGGUGUGCACCGUGUUCGGCGAUCCGCAUUACCGCACCUUCGACGGCAAGUUCUACACGUUCCGGGGCGCGUGCAAGUACCAAUUGGCGAGCGACUGCGCCAACCACAGCUUCAGCAUCCGCGUGACGAACGACGCCCGCCAGACCCGCCACUCCGCCUGGACCAAGACCAUAUCCCUCAAGAUCGGCGGCCUCAAGGUCAACCUCGGGCAGCGCAUGCGCGUCAAGGUCAAUGGCCAAAGGGUCGAGGUGCCCCACCGGGUGGCCGGACUCAAGCUCGACAUCAACCGCACCGAGGACACCAUACUCGUCCACAGCGGCCAACUCGGGCUCAGGAUACUCUGGGACGGCAUAAGCUUCCUCGAGGUGACCGCACCCACGGCCUACCGGGGCAAGCUCUGCGGCCUCUGCGGCAACUUCAACUCCAACCCCAAGGACGAUCUGACGAGCCGGCGCGGCCACCUGCUCACCGAUCCCGUGACCUUCGGCAACUCGUGGGCCGUCGGGGCCAAGCGCGUCUGCUCGAGGAUGCGAAGCCAGCACGCGCUCCACAGACGCGGAUGCAAAAUCAAAAAGGACCACAGGCUGUGCAACAAACUGCGCUUGGCUACGUUCGAGUCGUGCAAUCGCAAGGUCAACCCGGCCAUGUACUACAAGGCCUGCCUGCAGGACAUGUGCGAGUGCCCGAACGAGCAGUGCUACUGUCAAUCGUUCAUGGCCUACGCGCACGAUUGCCACCGGCUGGGGAUCCAAUUGCCCACGUGGCGCAAGUCGACGCGCUGUCCCACGGUCUGGGACUCGGCGUUGGCCGUCUACGCGCCCCCUUCACCGCCGUCUACGCUCGUCCUGUCGUCGACCGUCCGCCACGCGGGCCUGCACAAGACGACGCCCCCGGAGACACCGGUCACGGAGCGGAACUCGGAGGGACACCAACUACCGGCCUUCCUGGCGUCCAUGACUCCGGCCCAGAGGUGCAAGCACCCCUCGGGCUAGCCGACCAACUACCCCCCCCCCACCCCACCCCCCCUGGGACUCUUCCUGUAAUACAGUACAGCGCUGCGCGACUGUAUGGGGGGGUAUAUUGCGGACGGGGCGAGGGGGACAAGGGCGCGAUCUACCUACAUACAAUACUGUUACACCCUCGCUCGACGAUCUAACUAGUCACCUGCUUGUGCACACUCGAUAAGCGUUCAAUGCGCACCUUCCAGUAUUUUUUCGGCCGGUGAGCGGGCUCUCGCGGCAAACGUUAUUGCGUCUCUGCGUUGCGCAUAUAUACCCUACUUGUAAUAAAUGUAAUUACCCCCGCGUGUAUACGGCUGCGUUUCGUGUAUGAUAUGGGCUCACGGCUGCGAUUUGCAACAAUUUUUCCCGGCUUUCUUCAAUCCUCAUCACAGACAGAGCUGUCCUGGAGCCAAAAGGUGCAUGGGCCGGCAGUAGUAUGUGUAUAGACGUAAAAUUGCGUGGAUAGCUCUGGGCACAAAAAAAAAAAAAAUCUUACCCAGGGUCUUAUCGCAGCAUUUGUAGCUAAUAAACGUGAGUCGCAAUUUUUUCCUCAACGAGUUGGUUGUAUAGUGAGUCGUGUGAAAAUGAAAAACAAUUGAGUGAUCGUGUACAUAAUUAAAUCGGCAAAUUACGCGUGUUUGCUUAGCUGUUAGAUUUUUUUUUUUUUUUUCCAUCAUCAUUACUAUUAUUCUAAUUAGUUGCUAAUCACGUUACACUACGUAUCUAUACGUUUGUUCCACUGCGCGAGUUCGCGACAAACUCGUCACACGGGCAUUUCAGGACUUGAAAACUAGCUGCUGUAUAAAAAUCGACAAUUACAUGCGUAAAAUUAUGAAAAACAAACAAGUAAAACAAAUCUCAAAGUCAUUAGUCAUAUAAUUUUUCUGUCAAAAAGUAUAUGUAUAUGUAAUUACAUCAUAUAUUAACCAAUUGUCAUCGUUUCGAUAUACUGGCGUGAAUAUUUAUUUAUUUAAUCUACAUGUGUUCACAUGCAGCACUACCACUCCCUGUCUCGUACCAUGUUCCACUGUACUGCGAUCAAAAAAUGUAAACUGAUGCGGUAGUAGAAUCCGAUUCCAAUUCUCGGGUAUAAAAAAUUUCCUAUGCAACGACACUUUUGUGGUCAAGUGUAUUAUCUGUAAUUAUCGCAGGACCUGAUAUUGCGUGAUUUUCCAAUAAAUCGAAAGCAAUUAUAAUAAGGAAUGGCAGAUGAUUAUCGUGCUGUUGGCCAAGGAAGUCGCUCUUACUUUCCUAUUGUCGUUGGUCAAGCGAAGAUGAUGCGUUAGCGCUAGGCUGCACCUUAUCUCAUGUGAAUUUCUUCUCGCGUUUGGCCGUCGCGUCGAGUCACACGCCUUUGUCCACCGAUUUCAUUGUCCUAUAAUUUAACUUUCUUUGGUUCUUUGUGCGAAAAAUCAAUAUAGGUGACCGAAAACGAAAGUUGUACAUACAUAUAGGCUGACUAAAAUAACAUUAUAAAGAAAAUUAUACAAAUAUAUAUAUAUAUAUUUUUUCAUGUUACAUAAGUUAUUCAAGUGAAUUGUCGAUGUAUAAGUUGUAUAAGUGCAGCGAAAAUCCAUUGUGUAUAUGUGUGUACUAUACGCGUGUUUUGUCCUUAAUUUUUUUUGUAAUUUACGU